CUACGUAGGGGGCGAGCGUUGUCCGGAAUGAUUGGGCGUAAAGGGCGCGUAGGCGGCCCGGUAAGUCUGGAGUGAAAGUCCUGUUUUUAAGAUGGGAAUUGCUUUGGAUACUGUCGGGCUUGAGUGCAGGAGAGGUAAGUGGAAUUCCCAGUGUAGCGGUGAAAUGCGUAGAGAUUGGGAGGAACACCAGUGGCGAAGGCGACUUACUGGACUGUAACUGACGCUGAGGCGCGAAAGUGUGGAGAGCAAACAGGAUUAGAUACCCUGGUAGUCCACACUGUAAACGAUGAAUGCUAGGUGUAGGGGGUAUCGACCCCUUCUGUGCCGCAGUCAACACAAUAAGCAUUCCGCCUGGGGAGUACGGCCGCAAGGUUGAAACUCAAAUGAAUUGACGGGG
rnacentral:rRNA from 1 species